GACGAACGCUGGCGGCGUGCUUAACACAUGCAAGUCGAACGGAAAGGCCCUGCUUGCAGGGUGCUCGAGUGGCGAACGGGGGAGUAACACGUGGGUGAUCUGCCCCUUACUUUGGGAUAAGCCUGGGAAACUGGGUCUAAUACUGGAUAGGACCAUGCUGUAUGUGGUGUGGUGGAAAGAUUAGUUUCGGUAAGGGAUGAGCUCGCGGCCUAUCAGCUUGUUGGUGGGGUAAUGGCCUACCAAGGCGUCGACGGGUAGCCGGCCUGAGAGGGUGGACGGCCACAUUGGGACUGAGAUACGGCCCAGAAGCCUCCGGGAGGCAGCAGUGGGGAAGAUUGUACCAUGGGCGCAAGACGGAUGCUGCGACGCCGCGGGGGGGAUGACGGCCUUCGGGUUGUAAACUCCUUCCAGCCAUGACGAAGCCCUUGUGGUGACGGUAGUGGUAGAAGAAGCACCGGCUAACUACGUG
rnacentral:rRNA from 1 species